rnacentral:lncRNA from 1 species
UCUUGUUUAGGAGUUUGGGAAGAUCCGGUGUUUGAUUUUUCUCCACUAAUAACAGAAGGUUGAUAAACUGAUUGAUCAUUAUUUCUUUCUACACCCUUUUCUUGAAAAAGAUUCGACCUUUUUAUUGACCAUAAUUUAAUCAAAAACCAGAAGACUGUAAUAAUAUAUUAAACAACAUAUUAGGAAAAAGAAAAAAAAGUCAAAUAAAUAAAUAACAUAAUUUAUACAAAAUAUUUACCAGAGGUAUUUUGUGUAAGGAGCCGAGAGGAAGAUAAUUUAUAAUUUGUUACUCUCUGCUCUUAAUGUAACACUCCUAUACGCGACCCAAGUACCAAGUCGAAUAUAGGAAUGUCACAUUUAAGAGUCGUAGUAAUCCUGGUUAAAUUCAAUUAUUUGAAUUCUUUUGAACAUGCCAUUAGUUUCAAAUUUAUAAAAUUAACACAAUUAUCAACAUUUUACAAAUAAGUUCUUUAAAGGAUUUAACCUAGCAAUAGUUUAUCCUCUUUACAUGUCAUUAUUAUUAUUAUUAUUAACAUUUACCAAUCAAUUGGUCAAUUAGGGCCUCAUUAAUUUAUUUUAUAUCUAUCACUUACUUAAUAUUUCAAUAAAACAUUUGCACUUCCUUUAUGUAUUAGUAAAUCCAUCCUUUGUAGCAAUUUCUUAAUAUUGUAAUUCUUCAAUUAUUUUCCUCCUCCUCUCCACCCCACAUCAUUUAUGUACAUAUGUAUAUAUGAACCUUUGAUUUUGAAUAUAGUAUGCUUAUAAGCAAUGCUUAUUAUGAUUUCAUUAACUACACAUUUUUAGCAACGCUCUCCACUUGAGUAGCAGUCACUAAAUUAUUUAUAUCUUGGCCUACAGAACUCGAAUUUAAGAUCCACUUUUUAUUUUUGAAACUAGACUCGAUAAAAUUUUUACCAUAAAAAAUUAAUUUUUACUUAAUCCUAUUAAUACAUUUUAUUCUUCAAAUCUUUCCCUAUUCAACUGCUAGGCAGCUCUGACCCUUCUUCACUAAAAAUCUAUUAUCUUUCAGUACACAUCUCGUAUUAAGUUACCGUUUGUUUCUGUUGAAAAUAUACUAAUUAUUUUUUUUAAUAUAAAUUACAUAUCCUAAAUAUUUUUUUUGUAAAUUUCAUAAUAAUUUUUCAAAAUUAGAACAAGGGACCCCGAAAUUAUUUUGACAUUGUCUCACAAAAAUUGUUAUAUCUCAUAAUCUAAAAUUUCAUUGGUUAUACUGUUUCUUCUAUGUGAAACUAGAAUCAAUAAGAUCCAAUUCUAUACCUGAUUCAACCUCUAAUUCAAUUUCUAUAAUGUUUAGUGAAUUUUCAAAGUUGAACCACUGAUAUUGUCCAUAAAUUGUUUAAUGUAACACUUUGCUUUUCCAAGAUUUGAUUAAAUAUUUUCUUCUCAUUUCAUCAUUUAUACUCAUUAUUCAUGACCAUACCCCAUUUAUUAAACAUAUAGAGACAUUUAACAUCAAUUUAAAGAUAACUUUGAUGAGCUCAAUGAGACACUUACCUAUUUUCUUCCCUUGAACUCAACCUUCCUCUUCAAUCCAAGAUUUUCUUCAUCUAUCUCUUUGUUUUUCUCCUACUGCACUUUCUCUUCACUUUGCCAAGUUUUUCCUUCACUUUCCUCUUCAACUAAUUGAUUUUCUUGGUAGAAGACAACCUUAUAACACUCUAGGAUAUGAAAUAGGCUUUGGUUUUUAGGUAGAACUCAAAAGAAAAUUCAUGGAAGAUUUUCUCUUUCUUUAUUUUCUUCACCCCCUUUCUUUCUUUCCUUUCUUUCUCUUUUUAUUUUUGCUGUCUAGUUGCUAUCGGUCCCACCUUUCUCCCGUCUAGAAAUAUCUAUACUUUUCUUUUAUUUCAUUUUUAGUCCUAUUUCUAUAAAUUUUCCCUUCGUAAGCCUUAUUUUCAUAAAUUUCCCCCUUUUUCUUCACACCUCAUCACUUGGGUAUUCUAACUUCAUGAUUAUAUCUCAAAAUAUCAUUUAAUAAUGGAGAGUUUGCACUUAGGUUCUUCACCCACAAUUUAGAAAAAUUAUAAUUUAGUCCUUACAUUUUUCCACUUUAUUCAAUUUAGGCCAUGUUUCGAUUUCUUUAUAUAUCAAUGUCUCCAUGUCAAAUUUAUUAAAAAAUAUUUAUUAAAUUUCUACCCAUUUUCUUAAAAUGGUAAUUUCAACUUUUGGCCCCUUAACUUUUUCAUACUUAUAUUUUGUUAUUUUAAGUUUAAAUAUUUACAUUAGGCCACAAUACUAUUCAUAGUUUAUGAUUUAAUCCCUAACUCAAAUUAACAUUGUAACGGGCUAAAUCCGCUCGGGCCCAACAACCAAAGAAUAAUCCCAAAACAAAAAAUAAUAUAUAGUCCAUUAAAUGUCUAUUUACAGACUUUGGCCCAAUACAUACCCUGGACCCAAUAACUAAAACCCCACGGCCCAAGGACUGACCCAAAACCCGAAAUGAGCCCAAAUGGCCCAGAAAUUUUAGAAACCCUAGGGUUCCUUUCUUUCUCCUGCGCCGCAACAGCAACCUCCCUAUGCCUUCGCCUCUGUACUCCUCACGCCAAGCACCAACAUGACCCCCAUACACGAACGCGCACCCGUACCUGCAAGAAGGAAACAAAAACAACAGCGAAUAGAAACAAAGACAUAUUGUAUAUUUUCGGUUUAUUUUUCUUUUCUUUCGGCUAUACAAGCCCAACUUUUAGUCUUUCUAAAGGUUAAGAACGCACAUUUACGCAUACAGAUAUUGAAUACAAAGCAAGAAAAAUAGAGGAAGGUGAUUUUCCUUUCUUUGAAUCUCCGGAUUUGUUGCGAUUUUUCUCUUGAUCUAUUCCUUUCGACUUUAUUUUUUUCAUUUUUCGCAUCUAAAACAACAAAAAUAAAAGAAAAGAGUGAAACGAAACCUUACCUCGCAAAUCUACUGUUGGUUCUUCCUUGCCUCGUCGAAGUCGAAGGUGGAGGAGGAAUCUUGAGGUCGAAAAUCGUCUUCAAAAGGCGAAAAUACGCCUGUGGUUGGGGACGAUGGGGGUGAGGGCCAAAUGAUUUGGCUAAAGGUCAGCUAAAAAAACAAAAUGGGGGCUAGGGUUUUGAAAUGGUUGAAUAGCCAAAUUUAGGGUCUUUUAAAGGUCUGAAUACGGCGUCGUUAUGGGCCUGAUUCAGUGGCUCCAAAAACGGCGUUGUUUAGAUGUUGGAGCUCCGCGCGUCGACCCGUCCCAAGACCCGGAUCCGCGCCUCUGUGCCUCGAAUGGGGAAUUUGCAAUAUCAGUCCUUCCUUUUGUGCGCGCAUUCCAUUGGAAUCCUUAUGUGAUUUUAAUAUUUAAACUUUAUACUUUUAGUUCCAUUUUGAUUUCAAUUUAGUCUUUCCUUUAAUUUCAGCAGUGUAUUUUAUUUAUUAAAUAUCCUUUUAGUUUAUUUUUCAUUUUAAUUGAGUCCUUUUAAUUUGUGUAGUUCAUUAACUUUUUAAUUCGUUUAGCACUUAUUUUAUUUUUAUAUACAUUUUAAAUUACUUUGACAAUUCACUCUUUUUUUUUAUAAAACUAUUAUCUUAAAAUUACUUUGUAUAUCAUGUUGUUGUCAAAAUUUUGUAUAAUAUUUAAUUUAUAUUUAACUUAUAUUAAUACAUAUAUGAUUUAUGAAAAAAUUAGUUUUCUUUUGUACACAUUAUUAGUUUCAUAUUAUUUUACACAUAUAACUUCUUUUAAAUCUGGUUAUUUGUAUUUCCCUUCAAAUUUAUUUCGUAUCUAGUUUAUUCUUUGAAAAAAUAUGUUUUAUUACUUUCUUGUUAUUUAAGAUUAUUUCAUAUAUAUGUAUUGUUAUACUCUAUAUUAAUUUGUCAUUCUGUUAUAUAUGUUUUCAUUUCUUUAUUUUUAUUAUAUCUUCAUUAUAUUGUUUACAUUGUCUUUUCAUUAUUGUAUGUAUAUCAUCACUAUUAAAUAGAUAUGUUUUUUUAAAAUAUUUUUGCAUGUCAUUUGUUCCAAAUCUCUUCUUUCACAAUGUUUAUUGUAAUAUUAUUUAUUAGUUUUAUUUUUAUAUAUGCAAAUCAUUUCAAACCCUUCAUAUGUUGCUCAUUUGUAAUUUUUCAUAUUAAAGAGUUUUCAAAUUGUUUCCAUGUUGUUUUGUAUAUUGUUUAUAUUGUUUUGUUAUAAAUUUGUUUUCAUACUUAUAUAUACGUAAAUGUUUCUUAUAUUAUCAGUUUUGAAUGGUUGAACAUUGUGUUUUUACAUGCAUUGUUGAUCUUCUAUUGUUUUAUGUAUUUUCCUUUAAAUCUAUUUCAUUGUACAUUUCCUUUUAAAUCAAUAUUUCGAUAUAUAUAUACAUAUAUAUUUUUAAGAAAAUUUUUAUAGUUCAUUACACAAGAACAUACUUUAUUAUAUAUUCUUUUGUUAUUUAAGAACCUUUCAUGUUUUGUAUAUUAUUUAAGUUUUCUUUUAUUUUGUAUGAAUAUUGUCAACUUAAGAUAGAUGUAUUAUCUUGCAUGUUAUUCGAUUCAAAAUCUUUUUUAUAUUAAUAAUUAUUUAUAUAGUAUUUUUAUCCAUGUAAAUUAUUUCAAAUUCAAGCAUGUAGUAUUCGUUCAUCGAUUUAUCAUUUUUCAUUGUUUUGGAUCAUAUUAGUUUUAUUUUGUUUGGUACAUUAUAUGGUAAUUGUUUUUAUGUUAUUUCAUGUCUAUUGGUUGCACAUUAUUAAUUUGCCUUCUUAUGUAUUAUCGUAUCAAUCGUUGUUCACCCAUGCAUGUUAUCGUUGCAUUAUUUAUUUGUUCAUUAUUUUAUAUUGCCAUGUUAAUUAUUCUCCAUGCAUGAUUGAGAUUCAGCUAUAUUUCCGAGUUAAUUGUACUUAAUUGAAAAUGUUUGUUAAUUGGUGAAAUAAAUUGUAUCCCCCACCCUUCCAUUGUCGUGUUUUAUGUGUACACUUUUUACCCAAUAUCAUCUCUUUCCGCUUGAUUUUCGAAAUGUGGUUUUAUAAAAUCCAAAUUUUAUGAUUAAUUUCGUCUUAUUUCAAAUCAAAUUAAUGCAUUUUAAGCUAGUUUCACAACUACUAAAAAUUCCUUAAAACGAAGGCAAUACUCGGUGUUUGAUAAUUCGAGAAUCAUGCCUUAUCGUGCUGGGUUGUGAUUUCUCGUUUGUUCAAAACAAUCGAAUAUUCCUUUAGGUUUUCACUCGUGUUUAUUAAAAACCUUCCAAAACGAAUACAAUACUCGGUGUUUGAUAAUUCGGGAAUCGUGCCCUAACGUGUUGGGUUGUGAUUUCUCGUUUUUUCAAAACAAUCGAAGAUUCCUUCGAAAUUUCACUCACGUUUUCAAAAAACCCCUUAAAAUGAAGGCAGUAUUCGUUGCUUGGCAAUUUGGGGAAUAGUACCCUAUCGCGCUGGGUUACAAUUUCCCGUUUGUUCAAACUAAUCGAAUAUCUCUUCGCAAUUUCACUCGUAUUUUCUAAGGUGAGGCAAUGUUCGAUGUUCAGAAAUUUGAGGAAUCGUGCCCUACUGUGCUGGGUUUCGGUUUUCGUUGGACCAAAUAGUUGGGCAUCCUUUUGUUAAUUUCAAAUUAUAAACUUUCGGACAUCGAAACAAGAAGAUUUUUGGCAACCAACUUGGGUUAUUCAAAUAUUAUUAACAAGAACCAUAUUUCAAAAACAUUUUACAUAAGGACAACAUUUAAUCGAUUUGGUACCAAUUUUGGGCGUACUGAGGGUGCUAAUCCUUCCUCAUGCGUAAUCGACUCCCGAACCCGUUUUCUCAAAAGUUCGUAAACCAAAAUUGUUGUUUUAAUAAAUCAAAAAUGUUUUAUUAAAGUAACCAAAUUCUUAGGUGAUCCGAUCACAUCAAAACAAAAGGAUCGGUGGCGUUUUAUUUUCAAACAGUGGAUUCCCCUAUUUUUCGUUAAAAUUAAAAUUUUGAAAGAUGGUUUCGACAGCUUGGCGACUCCACUGGGGACUUGAGAGUCAAGCCAUAAAAUCGAUUGUCUGCUGUCCUUAUGUAAAAUACCGAAAACUUAUUUUAAAAAUCAUGUGUCUUUCAAAUGCAUUUGUUGUAUGGUUGUUAUGAUUCGGAUCUCGUAGAAUAAUACUGCAUUUCAUUGCAUGACCGCUGUGGUCACACCUUCUAAGUGGGAGUAAGAAACUAUGCUUUCGUAAGGUUUUCACCUCCGCAUGGGCUAGUGGAUUACUUCUGGGAUACAUCCGUACCUAUGAUUUCGUGAGAUUUUCAUCUCCGCAUGGUCAUAGGGAAAUGUAUCCCCCUGAACCGAACUCAAUCUAUAUAAGCCUAUAAUGGGUGAGGAUUGAGGAAUCUGCUGGUUCGAGUACCCUUACUCUAGAACCGAGCCACAUAUAGAGAGACCUAGGAGCUUACCCUAGGUAGAGCCACUCCGAACCCCUAGUGAUCACCUGAUUAGGUACUUUGUUGGUUGUUUAUUUCUAUACUAACGUGUUUUUGUUUUUGUUUGUUCAUGACUGCAUUGCAUUACAUCAUCAUAGAAAGGAGGUGUUGAUUCAUAUUCAAUUGCUAAAUAGAACAAUUUGUCAUGAGAAAAUGAAUUUCUUAAUAAUGCGGAUUAUAAUACGGUUGUCCGAAUUUGGUCCAAGUGAACACGACAGAAGAAGGCUAACAGUUCGUGGAGGAAAACAAAACUUUACCUAAGGAUUCAAGCUAAUAAAGAUUAUCCAAAAGCCGUCGCGUCCCAACUUUCUUAAAUGAGCUAAUCAACAUUACGAGGAUAGUAAUUUGUGGCCUGGAUCAAGCAAAAAGGAGCUAGUAGAGGCAUGCAUUAGAAGCUUGCGAGAUUUGACUUUCACGAAGAAAGGGGAUCAGUGCCUUCGUCUGGAAUAUGAAAGCAAGGCCGUAUACGUAAUCCAUUUUAUGAAAAAGAAUUUGUUUUAUAAAAAAAAUUAUUCUAAGGGAAUUGAAUUCAAAAUCGACAUAUUUCUUUCCUUUGCAUUCAUCCCAUGCAUUUGCAUUGCAUUGCAUCUUUUGCAUUGCAUCUUUUACAUUGCAUUGCAUCAUUUGCAUUAGAUUUUCCCAAAACGAUCCUAAUUAGGUAAAAUUAUUUCAGAACCGACAAAAGAUAUAGACCAAAGGUUGAAGUGAAUGGAGCAAAGACAAAUACAGAUGCAGGAGCAAUUGAUCAAAAUUCAACAAGAUAUGCGAGAAAUGCUAAAAUUCCAAAGAAAUAUGAUGGGCCAGUUAACCCAGUUACUGGCCGGAGAAUUUGAAAAAAGGAAUGGCCCAGUGGUCAAUAGUGAGGAUGAUAAUGAAGAGAUCGUUUAUUCCCCAAGUCUUACCCCAAUAAGCGUCCUGACCCAACCAGACAUAUAAGGGGUACCCGUUGUUAUCAGACCCCAAUAUCAGAUAGAUACAUCGACACUGUUGAGCUUCUCGAUGAGUUUAGGUUUUAACUCGGAAGAUGACUGAGCCAAACCAGCUGUUCUGGCAGAAAUGAAGGAAAGGGGAGAGUGGACUUUAAAGGCCCCGAAGAAGAAUGAAAAGAAAGUAAAUAGUACAAGUAGGUAUAAUAAGGGUCGUUCAGAGCCGAUUAUAGUAAGCCAGCCAAGGUCAGUAACUACCAGCCAUCAGGCCUCCUCAAUGCAAGAACCCAAUCGAAGACCGAACUCAGAAUAACCCCAAUACAUGCCCAUUCUAAUCACGUACAGAGAGUUGUACCACGUUCUGUUCGACGCACAUGUUGUAUCCCCUUUUUACAUGAAACCUAUACUGCCCCCAUACCCUAAAUGGUACGAUGCAAGUGGUCAAUGUGAAUACCAUGAGGAAAUCACGGGGCAUUCCAUCGAGAACUGUACCGCUUUUAAAAAGCUAAUCGAAAGAUUUAUUAAAUUGGGUAUCGUGAAAUUCGAUGGUCCCUCUGGAGCAGAAAAUCUGUCAUCGAACCGUUCUGUUAAAGAGGUGGACAUUAUGAGUUCCAUGAUGGAUAGGGGCAUGAGAUCUAAGGGUGCAUCAAGCUCAGGACUCUAAUACAAGACUUGGUAUUGGGGAAUUCGAACACUAAUGACGUAUCAGAAAAAAGAACCAGGGAAUAAACUUUUCCAAGCUUCUGCCCUUACGUACUUGGGGUGUUUUAAACAAUGGGAGUGUGAAAGAGAUUCUUAUAUUUUUAGAGCUAAUCUAGAGUAAUAUUCAAAACACACUUGUUUUUUUAAGCCUAGAAGUAACAAGAAUCCUUUUGUGAAAUAGGCUUGUGUCCAAAAUCUUUAUUUCAAUGAAAUGCAAUUUUGUUAUUAUCUUGAGCAAAUAUUCUUUUAUUCUUUCCAUUUCAUAUUGUACAAAUGAUUAUUCUUAGAUUCUUUCAUUCAUGAUCAUACCAUACAAAUAAUCAUCCUUAGAAUCAUUUAUUCUUUGACCCAGCCUUCAUACCUAUAACAGGUUUACAGAUAUCAAUGAUGUGAGCGACGCUGGCACUAAUUUCGAGUAUCAUUUUGAGCAAGAUAUGUAUCUAAAGGGAUCUCAGGACCUUGAAGAUGAUAGAGAUUGUAGCCUAUCUCCUGAUUUGUCAAGGAUGGUAGAAUAAGAUGAGAAAUAGAUCUUACCUUACAAAGGGGCAAUGGACGUCGCGAACCUGAGAGAAGAGAAAGAGAUAAAAAUUAGAGUGUAUAGCACCACAGAGACAAAGCGAGAUGUCAAGAAUACUGAGAUAUUUUCACAUGAUCGUAUCAAGAUAUGCUUGGGAUACUAAGGUCUGCGGAUGCUAAAAAAGGGUCCAUAUGAAUAUCAGGAGAACACAUGCUAAUGGUCUUACGUUAGCCAGGCUAAUCAUGAGGUUCGAGCGCUGCUGAUCUAACAUGGAAGAGGAUUGUAUCAGUCAAGCUGCGAAUGCCAAAUGAAAGAUUUUAGGCCUCCCCAUUUCUUUCACAAGAUUUUCUAUAUGUGGGGUAUGGAUAUUAUGAGGCUGAUUCCGUCAAAAGCUUCUAAUCGAUACCGAUUCAUCUUUGAGAUUGUUGAUUACUUCAUAGAAUGGGUGAUGUUACUAAGUUGAUAGUCGUCGAACUUAAAAAAAAAGAGGGAGAUUAGGUGCCGAUAAAGAACAUCAGAAAGAUUCAAUGUCAGAAGUUGGCAAUCUGUUCAAAGAUCAAACGCCGUAUCAUGACGCAGAAAAAAUCGUGGAAGAUAAUCGAGGCUUGUAAAGAUUGGCAUAAAGAAGUUACCAUUUACCCUCUAUACUUAUUGAACAUCGGCCAGAACCUUUGCCGGGGCAAUACAUUUUUCGUCUGCUUAAUGGGAUAGAAACGGUUUUGAAAACGAGAGUUUUUUUGGCCAAGUCUUGUCAAAGUUGAAGCUGGAUCAGGCAGAAUAGAUCCAAUCCCGAUAUGGUCAGUUGAAUUUGAAGAAAGGAGGUUGAAAGCCAUCUGUCAUGGCCCAAUGUACCAGAAAUGAAUGAUGUAAGCUUACGUCAGAAAGGUUCAUCCUAGAGAAUCCCACGAGGGGGACCUGGCAUUGAAAAAGAUAAAAACUUCAGAGGAAAGUGAAAGGCCAAGGUGAAAACCUGCAAAAGACACUUUGAGACCUUAAAAAAAAAGAGAAAAUAAGAAAAGAAAAGAAAAGGAGAGGCCAAGGCAAAAACCCGCAAAGGGCGCCUUGAGACCAAAAGGGAUUUGAGUUGAAAACUCAAAAAGGGCGGCUCAAAUUUGAAUCAAGGUGGGGAUACAGUUGUCUUGCUACGCCUGAAUUAACAAUGAAGAAGUAUGCUACGUCUCGGGGCAUCGACAAAGUACUCUGGAUCCCCUAAAUACAUAUUAAGCUCAAAAUGGACCUCAAGAAGUUUGUACAGAGAAGCUCGGGCUGCGAUAUCUGGGGCACCUAGUUUUCAUCUUACCCAUACUGAAUUUACUAUCUUUGAUUACUAUAUUCGUUUCAAAAUAUGGUCCAAAUAAACUUCCUUCUUAUUGCAUUGAUAUCUCUGAUUAACUUAUUCAUGUUGAGUUAAUUGCCUUCUUAUUGCAUUUGCAAUCUUUGAUUAACUUAUUUGUUUCGAGCUGUGCUCUUACCUAAUUUCCUUCUUGUCUAUUGUUUAGAUCUUUCUCGAGCAUUUUGCAUUGAAAUAAAGAUUAAUGGACCAAUAAUACUUUCAUAAAAAGAAGUUCUGCAUAUUAUUCGCGAGGCUUCUAAAUAGUACAAAAACCUAAAACAUGACUGUUGUUUAGAACUCACCAAACCUAAGGGAUGGAAAAGUUUGAGAAAGAAGGAGUCCAAAUUGUGGCUAUCUCUUUGAAUUUUCUAUCAAAGGUAUUGAUUAACGAAAAGGCAAGAUAUUUCGUCGGUGAUACAACCUCGACAAAUGACGAGCAAUGUCAAUCCAAGUAUAAGAGGGGAUCAUUCUCAGGAAAAGAAAAAUAAUAUUCUGCAUUCACGCAAAUAUUAGACAUGCACACAAGGUCAUUACACCUGAAGAAUGAUUGAUCCUAUACCCUGAGUUGCAGUGGGAUGGAUAAGCAAAAACUCCAUAAAGUUUCAGUAGGGCAAGCUUGCCGAGCAGAUUGAGAUUGUUUUCUGUCAAGAAUACCAGCUGAACAAUAUGGCCACAUAAUACGUCAGUGAUAAUGUCUUGAUGAACAGUAAUGAUACCUAGAUCAUUUUCAUUUCCGCAUUCAUAUAUCAUUCAUAACACAUCUAGUUAGGAGCAUUUGAUUCGUGUCGAUUAUAACAUUCUAAUUAUUUGAGAUAAACAUCACAUCUAGUUAGGAACAUUUGAUUCAUUUCGAUCAUAGCAUUCUAAUUAUUUGACAUAAACAUCACAUCUAGUUAGGAACAAUUGAUUCAUGUUAAUCAUAGCAUCCUAAUUAUUUGGCAUAAGCAUAGGCCUAUGAAACAGAAUGUAGAUCUUAUCUCCUUGAAGCUGCAGUGGGGCAAAUUGAAGAUGAUGAAUCUUGGCUUCCUGAAGAUGCAGUGAAGCAUAUUUAAGCAAGUCCUAGCUCCCUAAAGUUGUAGUGGAGUAGGAUGAAGAUUGUAGAUCUUGUCUCCCUGAAGUUGCAGUGGGGCAAAUCAAAGACGACGAAUCUUGGCUUCCUAAAGUUGCAGUGAAGCAGAUUUAAGCUAGUCCUAGCUCCCUAAAAUUGUAGUGGAGUAGGCUGAAUAUUGUAGAUCUUGUCUCCCUGAAGUUACAGUGGGGCAAAUCGAAAAUGACGAAUCUUGGCUUCCUAAAGAUGCAGUGAAGCAGAUUUAAGCAAGUCCUAGUUCCCUAAAGUUGUAGUGGAGUAGGCCGAAGAUUGUAGAUCUUGUCUCCCUGAAGUUGCAGUGGGGCAAAUCGAAGACGACAAAUCUUGGCUUCCUGAAGUUGUAGUGAAGCAAAUUUAAGCCACCAUCCUAGCUCCCUAAUGUUGUAGUGGAGUAGGCUGAAGAUUACAGACCUUGUUGUAAUGGAGCAGAUCAAGCUAUAAUUGCAGAAGAACAUAUUAAAGCCACAAACCUCAACUCUCUAAAGUUGCAGUGGAAUAGCUUAAAGCUACAAGCAGUCGUAGUGGAGUAGAUCAAAGCAAUAGUCCCUUUACCUCUGAAGAUGCAGUUGGUUAGAAAGAGGCUACUUGAAGAAAAGAAGCGCCAAGAGAAGUCGAGACUCGUCAGGCCCUGGCAAAUUUGGCCCUUUUUUAGUCUUUACUCCAUUCUCAUUACACGACAAUGAGCAAAGAGGGGCAGCUGUAAUGGGCCAAAUAUGCUCGGGCCCAACAACCAAAGAAUAAUCCCAAAACAAAAAAUAAUAUAUAGUCAUUAAAUGUCUAUUUACAGACUUUGGCCCAAUACAUACCCUAGACCAAAUAACUAAAAUCCCACGGCCCACGGACUGACCCAAUACCCGAAAUGAGCCCAAAUGGCCGAGAAAUUUUAGAAACCCUAGGGUUCCUUUCUUUCUCUUGCGCCGCAACAGCAACCUCCCUACACCUUCGCCUCUGUACUCCUCACGCUAAGCGCCAGCAUGACCCCCGUACACGCACGUGCACCCGUACCUGCAAGAAGGAAACAAAAACAACAGCGAAUAGAAGCAAAGACAUAUUGUAUAUUUUCGGUUUAUUUUUCUUUUCUUUCGGCUAUAAAAGCCCAACUUUUAGUCUUUGUAAAGGUUACGAACGCACAUUUACGCAUACAGAUAUUGAAUACAAAGCAAGAAAAACAGAGGAAGGUGAUUUUCCUUUCUUUGAAUCUCCGGAUUUGUUGCAUUUUUUCUCUUGAUCUAUUCCUUUCGACUUUAUUUUUUUCAUUUUUCGCAUCU